rnacentral:snRNA from 1 species
GCUCAAUAAUGUGACUAUACUAAAAUUGAAAUGAUACAUAGAAGAUUAUCAUGGCCUCCGCAUAAGCAUGACACACAAAUCUGUGAAGUGUUCCAUAUUUUG